GUGAGGAAUUUUCCGCAAUGGGCGAAAGCCUGACGGAGCAAUGCCGCGUGAAGGAUGAAGGCCUAUGGGUUGUAAACUUCUUUUCUCAGAAAAGAAUUAUGACGGUAUCUGAGGAAUAAGCAUCGGCUAACUCUGUGCCAGCAGCCGCGGUAAGACAGAGGAUGCAAGCGUUAUCCGGAAUGAUUGGGCGUAAAGGGUCUGUAGGUUGUUUAAAAAGUAUUCUGUCAAAGAUUAGGGCUUAACCCUAGAUAGGCAGAAUAAACUUUUAAGCUAGAGUUUGGUAGAGGCAGAGGGAAUUCCCGGUGGAGCGGUGAAAUGCGUAGAUAUCGGGAGGAACACCAAAGGCGAAGGCACUCUGCUGGGCCAAUACUAACACUGAGAGACGAAAGCGAGGGGAGCAAAUGGGAUUAGAAACCCGUGUAGUCC
rnacentral:rRNA from 1 species